rnacentral:lncRNA from 1 species
UUUUAUCUAGUAGAAGUAAAUAGUGAGAAUUUUAUUUGUAAGAUUCCAAUUGUUAAAUGUAAUUCAAAUUCAAGUUUGUCAUUUCAAUUUUAUUUGGUUUUCAUUUCAUUUGAGUUGGAAUGUAUAUAAGUUAAAGUUUGAUUCAAUUAGUAAUACAGUACACAUUUGAUAAGUUGAGAUUGAAAUCAGUUACAAGUUAGUUACAAAAUUU